GAGCUGGAUCCACAUGCGCUGGUCCUCGAUCUGCUUGUGGAUAGGCGUGAGGAGUCGCUGAAGCGGAGCCCAAGCGGCACCGGCGCGGGCGUGAAGACGACGGCGGGAGGAUCUGGAGCCCGAGCGGGAGGAUCUGGAGCCGCAUCUCAAGUACUCCGGCGACACAACGGCGCUUGAUGUGGAGCCCCACCGGCGCCGCUGCCGGUGGUGGGGCACCAGUUCUGCGCGCCCUACGUGGUGCCGCUGACGGUGACCAAGAAGGCGCUCAGCCUCUCCGACGGCGACUUCGCCAUCACCGAUGCCAACGGCGCCGUCGUGCUCAAGGUCAAGGGCGCCAUCUUCAGCAUCCGGAGCUGCCGCACCAUCCACGACGGCGCUGGGAUGCCCCUCCUAACCAUGCAAGAAAAGGUGGGGUGUAGUUGAGGUCUGGGAGAUCCAUGUUCUCCAGGCAACUAAAAAGAACUUUCAAGAUUGUUUUAAAGAAGGGCUAUUGAAAAAAGAUGUGUGAGGGCAUCAGUCACUCUCAUGCCGGCAUGCCGCACUUUCAGCUAGCAGAGGGAGUAAUGGGCGAGGAGAUGAACCUAGGAGAGCAAAAUUGAGAACUCCAGCUAAAGCAGCUCCUGCCCAGCGGCGAGGACUUCAGCGGCAGCAGCACCUGUGCAUGGGGAGGAACAGCCCCUGGGCGCGCGUAGGCAGCAGCUCGCCUCCACUAGCAGGCGGCAGCAGAGCACCAGCUCGCCUCCACCAGCGGCCGGCAGUAGAUCAGCACCUCGUCUCCACCAGCGGGCGGCAGCAGAGCACCACCUGGGCGCGCGGGGGCCGGGAGGAGCCCCUAGCGUGGGAGAGGAGCGCGGGGGU